rnacentral:rRNA from 1 species
UACGUAGGGUGCGAGCGUUAAUCGGAAUACUGGGCGUAAAGCGUGCGCAGGCGGUUCGUUGUGUCGGCGGUGAAAGCCCCGGCUCAACCUGGGAAUGGCCGUUGAAACUGGCGAACUGGAGUGUGGCAGAGGGGGGUGGAAUUCCGCGUGUAGCAGUGAAAUGCGUAGAGAUGCGGAGGAACACCGAUGGCGAAGGCAGCCCCCCUGGGGGCUAGCACUGACGCUCAGGCACGAAAAAAGCGUGGG